rnacentral:rRNA from 1 species
GACGAAUGCUGGCGGCGUGCUUAACACAUGCAAGUCGAACGGAAAGGCCCCUUCGGGGGUACUCGAGUGGCGAACAGGUGAGUAACACGUGAGUAACCUGCCCUUGACUUCGGGAUAACUUCAGGAAACUGGGGCUAAUACCGGAUAGGAAUCCUUGCUGCAUGGUGGGGGUUGGAAAGCUUCGGCGGUUUUGGAUGGACUCGCGGCUUAUCAGCUUGUUGGUGGGGUAGUGGCUUACCAAGGCUUUGACGGGUAGCCGGCCUGAGAGGGCGACCGGCCACAUUGGGACUGAGAUACGGCCCAGACUCCUACGGGAGGCAGCAGUGGGGAAUAUUGCACAAUGGGCGGAAGCCUGAUGCAGCAACGCCGCGGGCGGGAUGACGGCCUUCGGGUUGUAAACCGCUUUCAGCAGGGGCGAAGCUUGUGGUGACGGUACCUGCAGAAGAAGCACCGGCUAACUACGUG